UACAGAGGGUGCGAGCGUUGUCCGGAAUCACUGGGCGUAAAGGGCGCGUAGGUGGCGCCGCAAGUCCAUGGUGAAAGCUUGAUGCUCAACAUCGAGUCGGCCACGGAGACUGCGGGGCUCGAGCACUGUAGGGGCAGAUGGAAUUCCGGGUGUAGCGGUGGAAUGCGUAGAGAUCCGGAAGAACACCGGUGGCGAAGGCGGUCUGCUGGGCAGUUGCUGACACUGAGGCGCGACAGCGUGGGGAGCAAACAGG
rnacentral:rRNA from 1 species